AGAGUUUGAUCCUGGCUCAGGAUGAAUGCUGGCGGCAUGCCUAAUACAUGCAAGUCGAGCGGUAGCAUGGCUUCACCGUUUCCUUGACACACUUGGCCUUAUGCGAGUGGAAAGAUUCGAGGGAACCGUGAAGCUGAUGACGAGCGGCGGACGGCUGAGUAACGCGUGAGAACAUACCCCAAAGUGAGGGAUAACUAGUCGAAAGAUUAGCUAAUACCGCAUGUGAUCUUUGGAUUAAAGCAUUUAUGCGCUUUGGGAAUGGCUUGCGUACGAUUAGAUAGUUGGUGAGGUAAAGGCUCACCAAGUCGACGAUCGUUAGAUGGUUUGAGAGGAUGAUCAUCCAGACUGGGACUGAGACACGGCCCAGACUCCUACGGGAGGCAGCAGUAGGGAAUCUUUCACAAUGGGCGAAAGCCUGAUGGAGCAAUGCCGCGUGCAGGACGAAGGCCUUCGGGUUGUAAACUGCUUUUAUAAGCGAGAAAUAUGAUGGUAACUUAUGAAUAAGGAUCGGCUAACUACGUGCCAGCAGCCGCGGUCAUACGUAGGAUCCGAGCAUUAUCCGGAGUGACUGGGUGUAAAGAGUUGCGUAGGUGGCAAGGUAAGUAGAUAGUGAAAUCUGGUGGCUCAACCAUUCAGACUAUUAUCUAAACUAUCUAGCUCGAGACUGUUAUGGGUAACUGGAAUUUCUAGUGUAGGAGUGAAAUCCGUAGAUAUUAGAAGGAACACCGAUAGCGUAGGCAGGUUACUGGGACAGUUCUGACACUAAGGCACGAAAGCGUAGGGAGCAAACGGGAUUAGAUACCCCGGUAGUCUACGCCGUAAACGAUGGAUACUAGCAGUUUUGGGUAUCGACCCCCGGAGUUGCGAAGCUAACGCGUUAAGUAUCCCACCUGUGUAGUACGAUCGCAAGAUUAAAACAUAAAGGAAUUGACGGGGACCCGCACAAGCGGUGGAGCGUGAUCUUUAAUUCGAUGGUAAACGAUAAACCUUACCAAGGCUUGACAUCCGAUGUAGGCUCUCGAAAGAGAACUGUGCCUUCGGGAACAUCGAGACAGGUGAUGCAUGGCCGUCGUCAGCU
rnacentral:rRNA from 1 species